AGCUUAAAACCCAAAGGACUUGACGGUACCCCAUAUCCAUCUAGAGGAGCCUGUCCUAUAAUCGAUAAUCCCCGUUUAACCUCACCAUUUUUAGCCUAUCAGCCUGUAUACCUCCGUCGUCAGCUUACCACGUGAGCGACUUUAAGUGAGCUUAAUGCUCUUACGCCAACACGUCAGGUCAAGGUGCAGCAUAUAAAAUGGGAAGAGAUGGGCUACACUCUCUAACCUAGAAAACACGAAAGACUAUUUAUGAAACUUAGUCCGAAGGCGGAUUUAGCAGUAAAAAGAGACAAUAGAGCUCUUUUUAACACGGCCCUGGGGUGUGUACACACCGCCCGUCACCCUCUUCAAAACCAAAUUAUACAGUUCUUAACGCACCUGAACCCCAUAGAAGAGGCAAGUCGUAACAUGGUAAGCAUACCGGAAGGUGUGCUUGGAAA
rnacentral:rRNA from 1 species